GUACCUUCAAGCUCUGCUUGGUGUUGGGUGUUUGUCUCGCCUUUGCGUGUAGACUCGCCUCAAAACAAUUGGCAGCCGGCGUAUUGAUUUCGGAGCGCAGUACAUCUCGCGCUUUGUACUCAUAACGACGACGUCCAAAAGUACAUUUUUACAC
rnacentral:misc_RNA from 1 species